AUUGAACGCUGGCGGCAUGCCUUACACAUGCAAGUCGAACGGCAGCGCGGGCUUCGGCCUGGCGGCGAGUGGCGAACGGGUGAGUAAUGUAUCGGAACGUGCCCUAGAGUGGGGGAUAACUAGUCGAAAGAUUGGCUAAUACCGCAUACGAUCUAAGGAUGAAAGCGGGGGAUCGCAAGACCUCGUGCUCAUGGAGCGGCCGAUAUCUGAUUAGCUAGUUGGUGGGGUAAAGGCCUACCAAGGCGACGAUCAGUAGCUGGUCUGAGAGGACGACCAGCCACACUGGGACUGAGACACGGCCCAGACUCCUACGGGAGGCAGCAGUGGGGAAUUUUGGACAAUGGGGGCAACCCUGAUCCAGCAAUGCCGCGUGUGUGAAGAAGGCCUUCGGGUUGUAAAGCACUUUUGUCCGGAAAGAAAUUGCCUGAGCUAAUACCUUGGGUAGAUGACGGUACCGGAAGAAUAAGCACCGGCUAACUACGUGCCAGCAGCCGCCGUAA
rnacentral:rRNA from 1 species